UUUAAAGUGGGGGGACGUUAACAUUAUUGGUAUAUUGAGGAAUAUAUUGUCAUUAACUUAAAUUCAGUUUGUUAUAUUAGCCUUGUGUUAUCAUCCGAUCUUUUUCAGUCAAGCCUGCUGUGGAGCCCUGCGAGUGCGCCAAAAGUACUGGGGCUGUGAGCCACCUUCAAAAAAAAUUGAGCUGCCUUUUUCUCCUCACACCAUUAUGCUUUAACAGAGUUCAGAUUUUACUGUCAAAUGGACAAAAUUAACAAACUUUAAGGAAAGGACGCGACGGUAAAAUGCCUACUAAAUACUGUCUGAAUUUGAUAAAUUAGGCUGAUAGACGUUACAGCACAUCAACUCGACACGGAUCAUGCAAAUAUCGAGCUUUUAGCUCUAUUUCUAGCUGUAGGAUGCAUCUAGUUUUCAUCAAUUACUAAGAAUUUUUCAUACAAUGUUAAAAUGUAUUUUUUAUGCAGUGACAUGGAUAACUUUGUAAGAACCAAGCUGAUUGAAUGGAGUUUAGCAUCUUUAAUUCCCAAAUUUGAAGAUUUCUCAGGACUUCUCAACUUUGUACCCUAACUGUGGUGAAAAGCUCACUGUGAACUGGAUGCCAGUCUUCAAAGAGAAGAUCCUUCAGCUUGCAAGCAGAGAGAAGCGAGCUCUACAUCUGAUUUCAAACUUUGAUUCUCUGUCAGCAGGCAUACAAGGCGACAUUGCUCUACAAGUGCUCCCAGUGAUACUUCCAACAUCAGCAUACAAGUUCAGGAGAAAAAUGUUCUAACCAAGCUUCACAGAAACCAGAAAGGCUUUCAUUCAUCUACAGCCUGUUGGAACCAAUAUGGCUGAAUACUUGUGCAAAGCCGAGGAGAGCCAACCAUGCCCCUUUGUUCUGAUGCUCGGUGAAAAUGCCAUGUGCUCGCAAGCCUUUGUGAUAAUCAAUGGACAGGCACUGGAGCAGAGUACGCUGCUGGGGGCUGUGGACGUUUGUUUCAAAGCAUUCUAUGUCUUUGAUAUUAAAUAUCUCAAGCAGUGUGCACAAGUAUGGGAAUUCCUGCAAACUGUUGUGUAUGAGCUACCUGGAGAUGAGUCCCCAGCAAUACGAAUGGUGAGAGCACACGUUUUAGCAUAGCUCACACCCAAUGCAUAUCCUGCAAAAAAUUAAAAUGUUAUUUUUUGAUUUUUCAAUCACACAUUCAGUUCUACAGAAGCCUAAAAUUGGA